UACGGAGGGUGCAAGCGUUAUCCGGAUUUACUGGGGUUAAAGGGUGUGUAGGCGGACUUUUAAGUCAGAGGUGAAAUCUCCGGGCUCAACCCGGAAACUGCCAUUGAUACUAUUGGUCUUGAAUGUUGUUGAGGUGGGCGGAACGGGUCAUGUAGCGGUGAAAUGCAUAGAUAUGACCCGGAACACCGAUUGCGAAGGCAGCCCACUAAGCAAUGAUUGACGCUGAGGCACGAAAGCGUGGGGAUCAAACAGG
rnacentral:rRNA from 1 species